CCGUAGGUGAACCUGCGGAGGGAUCAUUACCGAGUUUACAACUCCCAAACCCCUGUGAACAUACCAAUUGUUGCCUCGGCGGAUCAGCCCGCUCCCGGUAAAACGGGACGGCCCGCCAGAGGACCCCUAAACUCUGUUUCUAUAUGUAACUUCUGAGUAAAACCAUAAAUAAAUCAAAACUUUCAACAACGGAUCUCUUGGUUCUGGCAUCGAUGAAGAACGCAGCAAAAUGCGAUAAGUAAUGUGAAUUGCAGAAUUCAGUGAAUCAUCGAAUCUUUGAACGCACAUUGCGCCCGCCAGUAUUCUGGCGGGCAUGCCUGUUCGAGCGUCAUUUCAACCCUCAAGCCCUCGGGUUUGGUGUUGGGGAUCGGCGAGCCCUUGCGGCAAGCCGGCCCCGAAAUCUAGUGGCGGUCUCGCUGCAGCUUCCAUUGCGUAGUAGUAAAACCCUCGCAACUGGUACGCGGCGCGGCCAAGCCGUUAAACCCCCAACUUCUGAAUGUUGACCUCGGAUCAGGUAGGAAUACCCGCUGAACUUAAGCAUAUCAAUAAGCGG
rnacentral:rRNA from 1 species